GAGUCUCAACAGCAGCUGAGUGGGAGCAGCAAACAUGCUGCUGCUGGCAGCACUAACGGUCACAACUGCAUGGUCAUAUGGAUUUGCACAGGAAACUCCCAUACAGAGCCCUGUAUCCAUCACCAUGUCACGAGGAAAUACAGAUCUGAAGUGUCAUUUUAAAGACUUCUCUGGAAAUUUUGAUAACACUGUCAUACACUGGUAUCAACAGAAGGAGAAUAAAGCUCCAGUGAGGAUGAUCUACUUUUCAUCAGGUUCAGUAGCAGUAGAUGAGAGCUUCCAAAGGCACAGAUACACGAUUCAAACUAUUUCUAGACAGAAGCUUUGCACUCUUACAAUAAGAAAUGUAAUUCCGGAUGAUGCUGCUACUUACUACUGUGCCUACUGGGACCCUCACUAUGGCAGAUGCCAAACAAUCACCUCUGCAAAUACUUUCUCGGCAGCUCUCCUGUAA